CCUACGGGCGGCAGCAGUGAGAAAUAUUGGUCAAUGGUCGGGAGACUGAACCAGCCAAGCCGCGUGAGGGAGGAAGGUACAGAGGAUCGUAAACCUCUUUUGUCAGGGAACAAAGACUGGGACGCGUCCCCGGAUGAGUGUACCUGAAGAAAAAGCAUCGGCUAACUCCGUGCCAGCAGCCGCGGUAAUACGGGGGAGGCGAGCGUUAUCCGGAUUUAUUGGGUUAAAAGGGUGCGCGGGCGGCCUGUUAAGCCAGCGGUCAAAGCCCGGGGCUCACCCCCGGCCCGCCGUUGAAACUGGCAGUCUCGAGUUGGAGAGAAGUAUGCGGAAUGCGCGGUGUAGCGGUGAAAUGCAUAGAUAUCGCGCAGAACUCCGGUUGCGAAGGCAGCAUGCCGGCUCCACACUGACGCUGAGGCACGAAAGCGUGGGUAUCGAACAGGAUUAGAUACCCGAGUAGUC
rnacentral:rRNA from 1 species